rnacentral:rRNA from 1 species
GACGUAGGGCGCGAGCGUUGUCCGGAUUUAUUGGGCGUAAAGAGCGUGUAGGCGGCCAUGCAGGUCAGCUGUAAAAACUCGAGGCUCAACCUCGAGACGUCGGUUGAAACCGUAUGGCUAGAGUCCGGAAGAGGAGAGUGGAAUUCCCGGUGUAGCGGUGAAAUGCGCAGAUAUCGGGAAGAACACCUAUGGCGAAGGCAGCUCUCUGGGACGGUACUGACGCUGAGACGCGAAAGCGUGGGGAGCAAACAGG